rnacentral:misc_RNA from 1 species
GUGUUUGGUCUCUUUUGCUUGGUUGUUCAUUUGGGACGUGCAACCCUAUUUGUUUUUGGUUUCUAUUGUUGUUUUGUCUUUAAUUUGAUGACUAUAAAUUUUGUUAUUGUGUGAUUUGCAUUCUAUUGGGUUUAUUUUUGCUUCUGGUUUGACUUGAAGAGGGCAUUAAAGCCCUUGAGCUGCUGCUCCAUUCGAUUCUCCCUUAAAAGGUGUUCUU